rnacentral:misc_RNA from 1 species
GGACUGGACAACUCUCGUAGUCGCCAAGAUGUUUGUCAAGAAACUCGUUGAGAAGGCUUCGCGUAAGCCAGGAAGCAACUUUGAUAGUUUGAAAGGAUGCGAGGUGGAACCACGUCUUGCCUUCCACUAUGGCAUUCCAUCAGGUUCUACUACUUCUGCCUAUGAUUCUAUCCAAAAGAUACUUGCUCUUUCUACCAGAGAUGGUCAAAUUAAGCUAUUUGGAAAAGAUAAUUCUCAGACUCUACUCGAGUCUAAGGAGGCAAUUCCUAGCAAGUUUUUGCAAUUCAUGGAGAACCAGGGAUUCCUUCUUAACGUUACUUCAAAGAACGAAAUUGAGGUAUGGGAUAUAGACAGGAAGUUGUUGGCACAUGUGAAUGUUUUCGAGCAAG